GUCUAUGACCAUAUCAUCCUGAACAUACCCACUAUCAUCUGAUCUCUGAAGCUAAGCAGGGUCAGACCUGGCUAGUAUUUGGAUGGGAGGACAUGAGGGUAGAGAUAGCUUUUGUGAUG
rnacentral:rRNA from 1 species